GAAAGACAAAAAGUAAAAGAAAAAUCUGCAGCUCAUUUGAAUGCACCUUGGCUAAUUACUGACCCUAACUGGAAUCCCAAUAAUCCAGCUCAAAAGACAAAGUUGGAUGGAUUUUUAAAAGCUGUUUUGAAUGGUAUUAGAGAUGCAGGGGAGGCUACUCCAAAUUGGAGCAAGGUGACUGCUUGGGAGGCUACUCCAAAUUGGAGCAAGGUGACUGCUUGGGAGGCUACGCCAAAUUGGAGCAAGGUAACUGCUUGUGUUCAGCAUCCAGAUAAGCACCUCUCUGACUUUUGUGCUCGACUGAUUUGUGAAGUUAAAAAGCAUGGGAAUUUAAAUCCUGAAACUGAUCAUGGAAAGGAGAUGGUUAAAAUGGUUUUCAUGUCACAAUGUGCAAAGGAUAUUGCAAAAAGAUUUAGAAAGCAUCCAGAUGGUACGCAAGGGAAAAGUUUGUCUGAAGUAGUUAGCAUUGCUACUAGAAUGUUUAAUGGGAAAGAGAAAAAGAAAGAAAAAGACAUAAGGAACGGGUUAAUUUAAAAAUCAUCUUGGCCCCGGGAUGGA